rfam:Felis catus isolate Cinnamon breed Abyssinian chromosome D1, whole genome shotgun sequence.
GCCUGGGUGGCUCAGUUGGUUAAGCGUCCGACUUCGGCUCAGGUCACGAUCCCGCGGUUCGUGGGUUCAAGCCCCGCGUCGGGCU